rnacentral:lncRNA from 1 species
AAAGAUCUCUUUGUUCCAGCAUAGACUCAGUCAGUGAAGGGCCUCUUCUCAGUGAAGGGAGUCUCUCUGAGGAAGAGGGACGCCGGGAUGCACGGCCCCUUUUGAAGGUAGCAGAAAUCUUAAAGGAAAAAGAAUUUUGUGCCGGAGAGAGAAAUCCUUACGAACCCAUCAAAGAGUUUCAGAAAGAAGCUGAGAAAUUCUUACCACUUUUUGGGCACAUAGGUGGCACACAAAGCAAAGGACCAUGGGAAGAACUGGCAAAGGGAAGCCCACACAGCGUCAUUAAUAUU